CCGAUGGGGGGCUUUAACCACAAUGGCAAGUCGGAGGGGCAUCGAGGGUAGCAAACCUGUCGGCGACCGGCGCAAGGCGGGCCCGCGUAUGUAACCUGCCCGCAACAGAGGGAUAACAAGGAAGAAAGUCGGACUAAUACCUCAUAAAACAGGGGUUCCGCAUGGGGCUAUUUGUUAAAGAUUUAUUGGUUGCGGAUGGGCAUGCGUACCAUUAGGUAGUUGGUGAGGUAACGGCUCACCAAGCCAUCGAUGGUUAGGGGUCCUGAGAGGAAGGUCCCCCACACUGGUACUGAGACACGGACCAGACUCCUACGGGAGGCAGCAGUGAGGAAUAUUGGUCAAUGGGCGAGAGCCUGAACCAGCCAAGUCGCGUGAAGGAUGACUGCCCUAUGGGUUGUAAACUUCUUUUACAGGGGAAUGAAAUGAGAUACGUGUAUUUUAUUGCAUGUACCUUGUGAAUAAGCAUCGGCUAACUCCGUGCCAGCAGCCGCGGUAAUACGGAGGAUGCGAGCGUUAUCCGGAUUUAUUGGGUUUAAAGGGUGCGUAGGUGGGCUGUUAAGUCCGCGGUGAAAGUUUGUCGCUUAACGAUAAAAUUGCCGUUGAAACUGGUAGUCUUGAGUAUAGAUGAAGUAGGCGGAAUGCGUGGUGUAGCGGUGAAAUGCAUAGAGAUCACGCAGAACUCCGAUUGCGAAGGCAGCUUACUAAGGUAUAACUGACACUGAAGCACGAAAGCGUGGGUAUCAAACAGGAUUAGAUACCCUGGUAGUCCACGCAGUAAACGA
rnacentral:rRNA from 1 species